GUUUCUGACGCAACACCUCCCCGAAGCCUAUAGCAGCGCGGUACUGGACGGGCCGUCCUCCCUCUUCUCUCCCACCCCACUCGCUUCCAUCUCCGCCGUCUCCCCGGUCUCCCCUCCCACCCCCACCACCCCUCCUCCGCCAGCCGCGUCCUCCGGGGCUCGGUGAGGAACUGUUCCUGGAGGAGCCGCGGAACGCCGAAACCAGCCAAUGGGAAGAGGCGAGACGCGGAGAUUGGCACGGUGGAUGGGAAGGUUCUCAGACUGUGCUUCCCAGACCAGCAGCAUUCGCAUCACCUGGGUACUUUUUAGAAAUGAAAAUGCUGGGGCCUCACCCUGGACCUACUCAAAAAGAAACUUCGACGUGGGGACCCACAAUUUGGUUUUGACAAGGAGGUCAUCUCAAAUGUGAGAACCACUGCUGCCGUGCUCCUCAUGUGAAAUGGAUCCAGGCCCCAAAGGCAGGAACGGAGAAGGGCUGGCAAAGCAAGGCAUUUUCAGCAGAAUGCUGAGCAUAAAUAAAGAUGUGAGGUGUCCAGCUGGAGUAAAGCAAAGUUCGCAUUGGGAAGUCACACGAAGUGAACAUGGAAUAAGGAAGAGCUAGAUUAAGCUUUGGGGCCAGGUACAAAAGCAAAGCAAAACAGCAACCAAAAAGUGAAGGAAUCUCCUUUGCACACCUGAGCUGCAAAGAGGGACGACCUGCAGAACAGAGUUGACAUGAUGUGAUGGUUCAGUUCCCAGAUAUGAAGGAAAGGAAUCCUCUGCCACUGGCUAAGGAAGGCCAGUUACAAAGCAGGAAAACCGAGAACUGGUAGAAGAAAGUAGAGAAACUUGCAGGAAACUUACAGGAGAGAAAAACUGGACAUAAAAUUAAAAGAAACAGAAAACACAGCUGUUACACUGCUGGCCCCCCGUGAUCAUCUCUGCCUACAUUUGCCCUUGUGGAGUCCUCGCUCUUUGAACGGGAGUAGGGCCUGUGACAUUCUGACUGACUAGAGGUGGCUGUGUGAUGCCGUGCCCUUUCCUGUGUCUAUGUGGGAAGCCUUAAGAUGCUGUGCUUCUGGGUUCUGAGCCCUGAUCUGCUUUAUAAGGACUCUGAUGGAGCUUUGUGGAGAGGCCAUAGGAGAAAAGCCCAGGCAUUCAGUGCCCAGCCAAGCCCAGGCCCCUGACCAUCAGCUGAAUGAAUCCACAGAGUGACCAUUGGCAAGAUCAACCAAGAUUACCUGGCUAAGCCCAGCCCAGACUGCAGA